CCUACGGGAGGCAGCAGUGAGGAAUAUUGGUCAAUGGACGAGAGUCUGAACCAGCCAAGUAGCGUGAAGGAUGACUGCCCUAUGGGUUGUAAACUUCUUUUAUAAAGGAAUAAAACGAGGCACGUGUGCCUUUUUGCAUGUACUUUAUGAAUAAGGAUCGGCUAACUCCGUGCCAGCAGCCGCGGUAAUACGGAGGAUCCGAGCGUUAUCCGGAUUUAUUGGGUGUAAAGGGAGCGUAGAUGGGUUGUUAAGUCAGUUGUGAAAGUUUGCGGCUCAACCGUAAAAUUGCAAUUGAUACUGGCAGUCGUGAGUACAGUUGAGGUAGGCGGAAUUCGUGGUGUAGCGGUGAAAUGCUUAGAUAUCACGAAGAACCCCGAUUGCGAAGGCAGCUUACUAAACUGUGACUGACAUUGAUGCUCGAAAGUGUGGGUAUCAAACAGGAUUAGAUACCCUUGUAGUC
rnacentral:rRNA from 1 species